GGGUCAGUAGGUUGGUCGUGCCACCGGUACGUACUGGUCUCACUGAUUCCUCCUUCCUGAAGAACCGUAAUGCCAUUAAUUUGGUGUUGCGGGGAAACAGGACUGUUACUUUGAAAAAAUUAGAGUGUUUAAAGCAAGCUAACGCUUGAAUACAUUAGCAUGGAAUAAAGAAAUAGGACGAUCGAUCCUAUUUUGUUGGUUUCUAGGAUUGACAUA
rnacentral:rRNA from 1 species